rnacentral:rRNA from 1 species
AAUGAACGCUGGCGGCAUGCCUAACACAUGCAAGUCGAACGAGACCUUCGGGUCUAGUGGCGCACGGGUGCGUAACGCGUGGGAACCUGCCCUUAGGUUCGGAAUAACUCCCCGUAAGGGGUGCUAAUACCGGAUAAUGUCUUCGGACCAAAGAUUUAUCGCCUUUGGAUGGGCCCGCGUUGGAUUAGCUAGUUGGUAGUGUAAAAGCCUACCAAGGCGACGAUCCAUAGCUGGUCUGAGAGGAUGAUCAGCCACACUGGGACUGAGACACGGCCCAGACUCCUACGGGAGGGAGCAGAGGGGAAUAUUGGACAAUGGGCGAAAGCCUGAUCCAGCAAUGCCGCGUGAGUGAUGAAGGCCGUAGGGUUGUAAAGCUCUUUUACCCGGGAUGAUAAUGACGGUACCGGGAGAAUAAGCACCGGCUAACUCCGUG